CGAGUUGGCCAGACAAUCGCUGCCAACACUUAUUUAUAAGUGUUGGGGGAGGAAAGUCCGGGCUCCAAAGAGCAGGGUGCCAGAUAACGUCUGGGCGGCGCAAGCCGACGACAAGUGCAGCAGAGAGAAGACCGCCGAUCGCUGGCAACAGCACAGGUAAGGGUGAAAGGGUGCGGUAAGAGCGCACCGGGCCACUGGUAACAGUCGGCAGCAGGGUAAACUCCACCCGGAGCAAGACCAAAUAGGGUUCCUUAUGGCGUGGCUCGCGUUGGAACCGGGUAGGUUGCUUGAGCCUUAGCGCGAGUUAAGGCCUAGACGAAUGAUUGUCGCUUUCCUAUAUAUAGGAUAGACACAGAACCCGGCUUAUCGGCCAACUCACAUA
rnacentral:RNase_P_RNA from 1 species